GACGAACGCUGGCGGCGUGCUUAACACAUGCAAGUCGAACGGUAAGGCCCUUCGGGGUACACGAGUGGCGAACGGGUGAGUAACACGUGAGUAACCUGCCCUUGACUCUGGGAUAACUGCGGGAAACUGUAGCUAAUACCGGAUACGACCCUCGGAGGCAUCUCCUGGGGGUGGAAAGAAUUUCGGUCAAGGAUGGACUCGCGGCCUAUCAGCUAGUUGGUGAGGUAAAGGCUCACCAAGGCGACGACGGGUAGCCGGCCUGAGAGGGUGACCGGCCACACUGGGACUGGGACACGGCCCAGACUCCUACGGGAGGCAGCAGUGGGGAAUAUUGCACAAUGGGCGCAAGCCUGAUGCAGCAACGCCGCGUGAGGGAUGACGGCCUUCGGGUUGUAAACCUCUUUUAGUAGGGAAGAAGCGAAAGUGACGGUACCUGCAGAAAAAGCACCGGCUAACUACGUGCCAGCCGCCGCUGUAA
rnacentral:rRNA from 1 species